GAUGAACGCUGGCGGCGUGCCUAAUACAUGCAAGUCGAGCGAAUGGAUUAAGAGCUUGCUCUUAUGAAGUUAGCGGCGGACGGGUGAGUAACACGUGGGUAACCUGCCCAUAAGACUGGGAUAACUCCGGGAAACCGGGGCUAAUACUGGAAAACAUUUUGAACCGCAUGGUUCGUAAUUGAAAGGCGGCUUCGGCUGUCACUUAUGGAUGGACCCGCGUCGCAUUAGCUAGUUGGUGAGGUAACGGCUCACCAAGGCAACGAUGCGUAGCCGACCUGAGAGGGUGAUCGGCCACACUGGGACGGAGACACGGCCCAGACUCCUACGGGAGGCAGCAGUAGGGAAUCUUCCGCAAUGGACGAAAGUCUGACGGAGCAACGCCGCGUGAGUGAUGAAGGCUUUCGGGUCGUAAAACUCUGUUGUUAGGGAAGAACAAGUGCUAGUUGAAUAAGCUGGCACCUUGACGGUACCUAACCAGAAAGCCACGGCUAACUACGUGCCAGCAGCCGCCGUAA
rnacentral:rRNA from 1 species